CACGUAGGGGGCAAGCGUUGUCCGGAUUUAUUGGGCGUAAAGAGCUCGUAGGCGGUUUCGUAAGUCGGAUGUGAAAACUCCAGCUCAACUUGGAGACGCCAUUCGAUACUGCGAUGACUUGAGUCCGGUAGGGGAGUGUGGAAUUCCUGGUGUAGCGGUGAAAUGCGCAGAUAUCAGGAGGAACACCGGCGGCGAAGGCGGCACUCUGGGCCGGUACUGACGCUGAGGAGCGAAGGCGUGGGUAGCAAACAGG
rnacentral:rRNA from 1 species